GCCCUAGAUAAAAUCUAAGGUGUAACCUGCCCAGUGACUCUAAAUUAACAGGAUAAAAACCUUAAAAAAGAGUUAAAAGGACGCGGUAACCUUGACCGUGAUAACGUAGCAUAAUCACUCGCCAUUUAAUUGGUGGAUAGUAUGAAUGGUUGAACGAAUAUUCCACUGUCUUAGAAAAAAUUAAUAUAAAUUGAAAUAAUAGUUAAGAUGCUAUUUUAAACUGUAAGACGAAAAGACCCUAUAGAGCUUAACUAUAGUCUCUAUACCAACAACAAAAAAAUAAUUUUAUAAAUAUAGAGAUUGGUAGUUUAGUUGGGGCGACUGUCUUCUAAAUUUAACGAAGACAAGCAAUGUUAAUAAAUAACUUAUUGUAUAAUAAAAAUAUUUAACAAUUAUAAAAAUAGGCUAUAAUGACCCGUUAAACCAAAAUAAAAUGAUUAACGAUCAAUUAAUAAAAGCUACCUUAGGGAUAACAGGAUAAUUUCAUUUUAGAGUUCCUAUCGAAAAUGAAGUUUGUCACCUCUAUGUUGAAUUAAGAUAUCCUGAUAAUGCAGAAGUUAUCAAAGGUAGGUCUGUUCGACCUUUAAAAUCUU
rnacentral:rRNA from 1 species